rnacentral:rRNA from 1 species
GGGUUGUGAGGUUAAGCGACCAAGCGUACACGGUGGAUGCCCUGGCAGUCAGAGGCGAUGAAGGACGUGCUAAUCUGCGAAAAGCGCCGGUAAGGUGAUAUGAACCGUUAUAACCGGCGAUGUCCGAAUGGGGAAACCCAGUGUGACUCGUCACACUAUCAUUAACUGAAUCCAUAGGUUAAUGAGGCGAACCGGGGGAACUGAAACAUCUAAGUACCCCGAGGAAAAGAAAUCAACCGAGAUUCCCCCAGUAGCGGCGAGCGAACGGGGAGGAGCCCAGAGCCUGAAUCAGCAUGUGUGUUAGUGGAAGCGUCUGGAAAGGCGCGCGAUACAGGGUGACAGCCCCGUACACAAAAGCGCACGUGCUGUGAGCUCGAUGAGUAGGGCGGGACACGUGGUAUCCUGUCUGAAUAUGGGGGGACCAUCCUCCAAGGCUAAAUACUCCUGACUGACCGAUAGUGAACCAGUACCGUGAGGGAAAGGCGAAAAGAACCCCGGCGAGGGGAGUGAAACAGAACCUGAAACCGUGUACGUACAAGCAGUGGGAGCCUCUCUUUAUGGGGGGUGACUGCGUACCUUUUGUAUAAUGGGUCAGCGACUUAUAUUCUGUAGCAAGGUUAACCGCAUAGGGGAGCCGAAGGGAAACCGAGUCUUAACCGGGCGUUAAGUUGCAGGGUAUAGACCCGAAACCCGGUGAUCUAGCCAUGGGCAGGUUGAAGGUUGGGUAACACUAACUGGAGGACCGAACCGACUAAUGUUGAAAAAUUAGCGGAUGACCUGUGGCUGGGGGUGAAAGGCCAAUCAAACCGGGAGAUAGCUGGUUCUCCCCGAAAGCUAUUUAGGUAGCGCCUCGUGAACUCAUCUCCGGGGGUAGAGCACUGUUUCGGCUAGGGGGCCAUCCCGGCUUACCAACCCGAUGCAAACUGCGAAUACCGGAGAAUGUUAUCACGGGAGACACACGGCGGGUGCUAACGUCCGUCGUGAAGAGGGAAACAACCCAGACCGCCAGCUAAGGUCCCAAAGUCAUGGUUAAGUGGGAAACGAUGUGGGAAGGCCCAGACAGCCAGGAUGUUGGCUUAGAAGCAGCCAUCAUUUAAAGAAAGCGUAAUAGCUCACUGGUCGAGUCGGCCUGCGCGGAAGAUGUAACGGGGCUAAACCAUGCACCGAAGCUGCGGCAGCGACACUUUAGUGUUGUUGGGUAGGGGAGCGUUCUGUAAGCCGUUGAAGGUGGCCUGUGAGGGUUGCUGGAGGUAUCAGAAGUGCGAAUGCUGACAUAAGUAACGAUAAAGCGGGUGAAAAGCCCGCUCGCCGGAAGACCAAGGGUUCCUGUCCAACGUUAAUCGGGGCAGGGUGAGUCGACCCCUAAGGCGAGGCCGAAAGGCGUAGUCGAUGGGAAACGGGUUAAUAUUCCCGUACUUGGUGUUACUGCGAAGGGGGGACGGAGAAGGCUAUGUUGGCCGGGCGACGGUAGUCCCGGUUUAAGCGUGUAGGUGUAUGUUCCAGGCAAAUCCGGUUCAUUUUAACACUGAGGCGUGAUGACGAGGCACCACGGUGCUGAAGCAACAAAUGCCCUGCUUCCAGGAAAAGCCUCUAAGCAUCAGGUAACAUCAAAUCGUACCCCAAACCGACACAGGUGGUCAGGUAGAGAAUACCAAGGCGCUUGAGAGAACUCGGGUGAAGGAACUAGGCAAAAUGGUGCCGUAACUUCGGGAGAAGGCACGCUGACACGUAGGUGAAGUGAUUUACUCAUGGAGCUGAAGUCAGUCGAAGAUACCAGCUGGCUGCAACUGUUUAUUAAAAACACAGCACUGUGCAAACACGAAAGUGGACGUAUACGGUGUGACGCCUGCCCGGUGCCGGAAGGUUAAUUGAUGGGGUCAGCGCAAGCGAAGCUCCUGAUCGAAGCCCCGGUAAACGGCGGCCGUAACUAUAACGGUCCUAAGGUAGCGAAAUUCCUUGUCGGGUAAGUUCCGACCUGCACGAAUGGCGUAAUGAUGGCCAGGCUGUCUCCACCCGAGACUCAGUGAAAUUGAACUCGCUGUGAAGAUGCAGUGUACCCGCGGCAAGACGGAAAGACCCCGUGAACCUUUACUAUAGCUUGACACUGAACAUUGAGCCUUGAUGUGUAGGAUAGGUGGGAGGCUUUGAAGCGUGGACGCCAGUCUGCGUGGAGCCGACCUUGAAAUACCACCCUUUAAUGUUUGAUGUUCUAACGUGGACCCGUGAUCCGGGUUGCGGACAGUGUCUGGUGGGUAGUUUGACUGGGGCGGUCUCCUCCUAAAGAGUAACGGAGGAGCACGAAGGUUGGCUAAUCCUGGUCGGACAUCAGGAGGUUAGUGCAAUGGCAUAAGCCAGCUUGACUGCGAGCGUGACGGCGCGAGCAGGUGCGAAAGCAGGUCAUAGUGAUCCGGUGGUUCUGAAUGGAAGGGCCAUCGCUCAACGGAUAAAAGGUACUCCGGGGAUAACAGGCUGAUACCGCCCAAGAGUUCAUAUCGACGGCGGUGUUUGGCACCUCGAUGUCGGCUCAUCACAUCCUGGGGCUGAAGUAGGUCCCAAGGGUAUGGCUGUUCGCCAUUUAAAGUGGUACGCGAGCUGGGUUUAGAACGUCGUGAGACAGUUCGGUCCCUAUCUGCCGUGGGCGCUGGAAGAUUGAGGGGGGCUGCUCCUAGUACGAGAGGACCGGAGUGGACGCAUCACUGGUGUUCGGGUUGUCAUGCCAAUGGCACUGCCCGGUAGCUAAAUGCGGAAAAGAUAAGUGCUGAAAGCAUCUAAGCACGAAACUUGCCCCGAGAUGAGUCUUCCCUGAGACUUUGAGUCUCCUGAAGGAACGUUAAAGACGAUGACGUUGAUAGGCCGGGUGUGUAAGCGCAGCGAUGCGUUGAGCUAACCGGUACUAAUGAACCGUGAGGCUUAACCUUACAACGCCGAAG